rnacentral:rRNA from 1 species
CGGUUGAUCCUGCCGGAGGUUACUGCUAUCGAGGUUCGACUAAGCCAUGCGAGUCAAAUGUAGCAAUACAUGGCGUACUGCUCAGUAACACGUGGACAACCUACCCUUGAGACGGGGAUAAACCCGGGAAACUGGGUAUAAUACCCGAUAGAUCUCGACUGCUGGAAUGCAUCGAGAUCCAAAGCUCCGGCGCUCAAGGAUGGGUCUGCGGCCUAUCAGGUAGUAGUGGGUGUAGCGUACCUACUAGCCUACGACGGGUACGGGUUGUGAGAGCAAGAGCCCGGAGAUGGAUUCUGAGACACGAAUCCAGGCCCUACGGGGUGCAGCAGGCGCGAAAACUUUACAAUGCUGGAAACAGCGAUAAGGGGACCUCGAGUGCCAGGUUACAAACCUGGCUGUCGUGAUGCCUAAAAAGCAUUGCAUAGCAAGGGCCGGGCAAGACCGGUGCCAGCCGCCGCGGUAACACCGGCGGCUCGAGUGGUAACCGUUAUUAUUGGGUCUAAAGGGUCUGUAGCCGGCCGGAUAAGUCUCUUGGGAAAUCUGGCAGCUUAACUGUCAGGCUUUCAGGAGAUACUGUCUGGCUCGAGGCCGGGAGAGGUGAGAGGUACUUCAGGGGUAGGGGUGAAAUCUUGUAAUCCUUGAAGGACCACCAGUGGCGAAGGCGUCUCACCAGAACGGACCUGACGGCAAGGGACGAAAGCUAGGGGCACGAACCGGAUUAGAUACCCGGGUAGUCCUAGCCGUAAACGAUACUCGCUAGGUGUCGGCCACGGUGCGACCGUUGUCGGUGCCGUAGGGAAGCCGUGAAGCGAGCCACCUGGGAAGUACGGCCGCAAGGCUGAAACUUAAAGGAUUGGCGGGGGAGCACCACAACGGGUGGAGCUUGCGGU